GGCGUCACUACAGACUCCCUGGUUCAAAUCCAGGCUGCGUUUCUAUCAAAAAACCACAAACAUUAUUUGCCAAUAUCAUAACUGGAGCUGGACAUCUUUGGAGCAGAAGAAUGAGGACAGCUUUUGUAUGCUAACGUACACUCCUUAACAGUCUUACUGGAUGAAAAGACUACUUUACUACUAAUUACUUUACCUAAGAGGGAGUGGGGAGGAUGAAGAAAGUUAGAGGAUGAUGAGGCAGUGGUCAGGUGAUCCACCUUCCCUGUGGCCGACAUGGUUGCUGCAUGGA